rnacentral:rRNA from 1 species
GACGAACGCUGGCGGCGUGCUUAACACAUGCAAGUCGAACGGAAAGGCCCUGCUUUUGUGGGGUGCUCGAGUGGCGAACGGGUGAGUAACACGUGAGUAACCUGCCCUUGACUUUGGGAUAACUUCAGGAAACUGGGGCUAAUACCGGAUAGGAGCUCCUGCUGCAUGGGGGGGGUUGGAAAGUUUCGGCGGUGGGGGAUGGACUCGCGGCUUAUCAGCUUGUUGGUGGGGUAGGGGCUUACCAAGGGUUUGACGGGUAGCCGGCCUGGGAGGGUGACCGGCCACAUGGGUCCUGCGAUACGCACCAGACUGCAACGGUCGGCAACAGUGGGGAAUAUUGCACAAUGGGCGGAAGCCUGAUGCAGCAGCCCCGCGAUCGGGAUGACGGCCUUCGGGUUGUAAACCGCUUUCGCCUGUGACGAAGCGUGAGUGACGGUAAUGGGUAAAGAAGCACCGGCUAACUACGUG